AAGGUUUCCGUAGGUGAACCUGCGGAAGGAUCAUUAUUGAAUGAACUUGGUGUGGUUGUCGCUGGCCCUCUUGGGGGCAUGUGCACACCUACCAUUCUCAUCUCUCCACUUGUGCACCUCUUGUAGAUUUGGAAUUGAUUAUCCGAGGCAACUCGGUCGUGAGGACUUGCUAGCACUUAGCCGGCUUUCUUUGCAAUUCCAGGUCUAUGUUUUUCAUAUACCCCAUUGUAUGUAACAGAAUGUAUCAUUGGGCCCUUGUGCCUAUAAACCUUAUACAACUUUCAGCAACGGAUCUCUUGGCUCUCGCAUCGAUGAAGAACGCAGCGAAAUGCGAUAAGUAAUGUGAAUUGCAGAAUUCAGUGAAUCAUCGAAUCUUUGAACGCACCUUGCGCUCCUUGGUAUUCCGAGGAGCAUGCCUGUUUGAGUGUCAUUAAAUUCUCAACCAUUAUCAACUUUUGCUGAUAAUGGCUUGGAUGUGGGGGUCUAUUUUGCUGGCUUCUCAGAUAGUCAGCUCCCCUUAAAUGCAUUAGCCGGUGCCCCGCGUGGACUGUCUAUUGGUGUGAUAAUUAUCUACGCUAUAGACAUCYGCAAUCAUAUGGGUUUGCGCUGCUUCUAACAGUCUGUUGAUUCAGACAAUACAUGACAAUUUGACCUCAAAUCAGGUAGGACUACCCGCUGAACUUAA
rnacentral:rRNA from 1 species